rnacentral:sRNA from 1 species
AAGUGGGACCGGUGCCUGGCGGAUGCGGUCGUGAAGAUAGGCUAUGAAAUGGAGAGUCAGGUACUGGUUUUGGAUUAGGAAUUGUUUUCUCACUUACCUUCUUUAAAAGAAGAAUGUGGCCAUUAGCCUUUGGUUCCGGCAUGGGAUUAGGAAUGGCUUAUUCCAACUGUCAGCAUGAUUUCCAGGCUCCAUAUCUUCUACAUGGAAAAUAUGUCAAAGAGCAGGAGCAGUGACUUCACCUGAGAACAUCCCAGCGGGAGGACAAGAGAAAUCAUGUUUAUUCCUCAGGAAUACUGAAGUGCCCUGGAGUAAGCUGCCAUUCUUCUGUAACAGCGUUAUCAGUAAUGCUUUAAACUCCAGCACCUGGUUAUGUAUUUGAAACCAAGUCUGUUUCUUGUUUUGUAUUUUCUCUCUGGAAGUUAUAAGGAGGUGGUCUUA